AAAGAACACGACUUUUAUUGGGAGCUAACAAUUACCAGCAAGGAAAGAGUAGAAUGUUACUGAAUCUACCAGCUAUACAGGAUUUCUUUCCACAUCCAUAGUUUAUAUUCUUACAUUCCCAACAAACAUGUAUGUAUAUAGAAACAUGUAAACAUGAAAUUCAUAUCAAUUUUAGGGCUUUCAGGGCUAAAGAAUAUUUUGGGCUAAUAUCUACAAGAAUGAACUGAAUUCAUUCUUUAAAUAAUCAGAUACUAUAUAUAAUCUUUAAAUAUUGCUGUAAAGAUAGAAUCUUCAACAAGUAUUGAUCAAAUCUCGCGUCCAUGAAAAGCACCAUGAUGCUCUCCAUGAGGACAGAUUCCUCAAUACCUUGGACGAUCUGGCCACAAGUUUCCCAAUUGCCUCAUCAACGUCAGGUACCUUCCAUUCCUGGCAUCUACAUGCUCGCGUUCACGAUGAUCAACAUGUUCACGAUGAUCAUCAUGUGUAGGAGUGCUAUUUUCAGGCACAGGCGGCAACUCUUUCCUACAGACUGGGCAAGAGUUGUGUAACCUUAACCAUGGCACAAUACAAUCAUUAUGGUAUAUGUGUUUGCAAGGUAGCUCCUUUGCCUCCUCUCCAACUUUGAAAUCUUCCUUGCAGACUGGACAAUGCGAUUCAUUCACCAAAUGACUUCCUGUGACCUUCACCGUUGAUAUUGCGUUGAUAACUGAUUCGGAUGCCGGCGGCGGCCCUGGUCGGUCAUUUUGGGUCACUCGUUCGAUCAGCUCGUUUAGGACUUGGCCGAAAAAGUAGUCCCUCAGGCUAACCAUGGGGCGCAUCGGGUUUUCAGGUGGCAAAUUUGGUUCGGUUAUUGGUCUAGAUGGGAGUCCAGGUACAUCUUCCGAGUGCACUCUCCCAUCUAAAUUCUGAUUUCGAAGCCUCCAGGGACGGGUUUCAGGAUCAGGGUCCCAUUGAUUUCGUCUCCGAAACCAGUACCGUCCACGAUAUUGGGAUUCCAGAUUAUCAUCAAAACCGAAAUAAUUAAACCUUCUAAUUGGCCGGUCAAGCAUAAGAGACAGCGCUUCAAGUGAGCGGACUACAGGCGAGGGAUCAAAAGCAGUGAAAUCAACAACUAAUCUCGGUCUGUUCAUCUCAACCUCGCAAAGGAACUGCCCGGAACAUAGAGGACAGAUGAUUUCUGAUGGGUCUGACGCAGCAAUCCUGACCCUUCGAUGGCACUGGUAGCACCAAUAUGGCUGGUAGGUUCUUGUGGUCGUGUCAUUUGUUCUUGUCCUAGGUGGGCUCAAAGACAUGGUCCGUAUUUCUUGUGGGGUUGGUCGUUUUGGGUUUCUGCUUUUCUGGGUUUAUGUUAUUUCUCAACAAGAAUUUGCCUUGGGAUUUGGGAAGAAGAGUUCCAAAUGAGAGAAUAUAUAUACAAACAUAUGUAGAAGUACUCAGAAAAGAAUGGCUUUUCUGGCUUGCAUAAAGCUAUCCUUUCUUUACCUGUGUCUAUCUUCAUUCUCCAUACAAAGGAAAGAAUGAGAUUUGAAUUGCGAGGGAAAGCUUAACGGCUACCUUCUGAAGGCGGAAAAGAAUGUUACUUUUUUUGUUGGACGAAAAUGACCUUUGUUCCUUAAAGCCACGAAAGUCGAAGAGGUCCCGGUGAGAAACCCUUCGAAGGGAAGAAAAAAAAAAGCUUCCUCUUCUUCAGGGUAAUCUCUCUGGAUUACCAUCAUUAGUAGUAGUAGUUUCUGCUUUUGUGAUUUUGGUGUUAUUUUCUUUAUUAUCAUUUUUUGGGGUGCAUGUUGCCCAUUUCGAUGAUUUUGCUGUGAUUCAUAUUUCGGAUUUACGGAUUUGAUUUCGUUUAGGUUAUGGGAAGUGGGGAAUGAGUCGAGCUUUUUAUUUUCUUUAAUGGGACUUCACUGUUUUUCUACGUUUCUUUUCGAUUCAAGGGAUGAAGCUUGAUUUUAUACUGGCACUCGUGAACACCAUCUGUUUGUUCAUUUGUCUGUAUGAAUUGGUAAAUGUCUCUUUGUUAUUGUUUCAGCGUCAAGCUUAUGCAUUCCUUCGACAUUGUUUUUCUUCGUGGAAAUUUCAAACCUGUUUGUGUAGAAUGGUACCAGAGUUACCUGACUUGUUUUGGGAUUCUUUAUAACUUUCUUUGUUUAUCUGUUCAUCAUGACCCAUGUGCAGCAUUAGGACAAUAGGAGUAAAGUACGAAGAAAUAACAGUUUAUGAGUGGAUAAGGGAAAUAACUUGAUUAAAAAUUGGAACUGAAUACGUAGCUGAAUUAAUGGGGGGUUUCCUAACUUGCAAUCCUAUUCUGUCUUUGAUAGUUUAAGUUUGAGUUUCUAUUGAAAACACCUUUAAAUAUUUGUAGAAUCAACUUUCAGAUUUUACAGCAAUAAUGCAGCAGCAUUUGUGAAUUCAUAUAUUUGACCAAGUGAAGAUAUUUUUACAUUAAAUACUAAAUAUUUCAUUACGAACAUGGUAGACUAAAUAGAUAAUUAUAGAGACUCAUCAAAUUACAAGAAAAUUCCCUAUAAGCUUUCUUAAGAUGAACCUAGAUGCAAACAAAUAAACCAAGAAAGAUUAUGAUGUAGAGUUUUGGGGGAAAUAAGUUGUGAUAAUUAUUUAGAAAAUUUUCUGGCUACUUCAUUUAUUUGUGUGAGAGAAACGUAGCAAUUCUUAUUAGCAUUUACUCUAAUGGGAAAUGCACGUGCAAACUUUUUUGAGCAUAUGUUCACUGCUGUUUGAACUAUGGAUUGUUUUUUGAUAACAUUUCUUUAAAGCUGCAGGAUGGAUAACAAGUUCUGCUGUGAGAAUGUACAUGGGAUUGUUGGAUUAUGAUGUGAUCUGUAUAUGUGUUUUUUCCAUUUUAUCAUUUUAUGUAUAUGGAAGCUAUUGCAAAAUAUUCUGUUAUUUGUGGGAGCUUGAUGAGAAUUUCUUGUUGAAGAAUCUAUGUUGGUCCCUACAUUUUUUAUCAUCUCUUUUUGGGAAGUAAGGGAAAAGACACAAGCACCAAUCAAAGACACAAUCUGUGGUAAGCUAUUCCACAGAUAUCAUGAAGCAAUGACUCUCGACACCCAAGAGAAGGACUACAAAUUCAUGUUUUCUACACUUUGAAUUUUGGAAAAUUUACUUUUUGCUUUAGGAAAAAGAAAAAUAAGUAUAGACCAACUGUGAAAUGCUCUUGUUUCUAAAACCCGAAAUAUGCUCAUGUUCUUAUUCUUAACUGUUUGUUUAAUAUGCUUUUGUUUCACAUUAGUUCCUUGGAUCACUUUUUGUGGCUUUGUUUUUACAGAUUGAAUUGUCAAAGUGUUGGUUGACUGGAAUGCCAUAGGCAGCGAAAUGCAGAAGGACCCUGUGGUGGUGCUAGACCAAUUAUAAAGAAGCGGCUUCCAAAAAGGUUCAGGCUAGUUAUUUCUAUCGCACAGAGAUGCAGGGUAGCUAGGUUAGUUAAUCUGGUGUAAGAUAAGCUAAGUUGAUAUUAACUAGAGCUAUACCAGCUGAAUUGGUUAGCUGUUGAAGACUGUUACAACUGGCUGAAACUUUCCCGCCUUGUGUAACUGCUGUACUCCCUUCUGUAAAUGAUGUAACUCCCUCUUGUUUCCCUAUCUCAUCUAUUUCCUUCUCAUUCUAAUUGUAUGUAAAAAGCAGAUGUACUUGUGAUCUGUAUCAAUAAUAAGGAUCAUUCUUCCUUCAGUUUUCCGUCCCUCAAGGUCUGAACCCUCAGCAAUUGCAUUCUAUGGGGCAUGUAUUGCAGGUGGAAUUGGUGCUGGUAUGCUUCUUGAGAUCUGGAUAAACAAGAAAGUUAAAGGUAUCAUAAUUUAUAAUUCUUGCCUAUAACACAAGGAAAAAAGGAAUUAGGAAAAUAAAAGUCAGUUAGAAUAAUUGUUUGAUGUUUUUUUUUAUGAGAUCUAUGGCCUAGUCCUUGUGAACUGUUAGAAUGAAUGGUAGAAAAGCGGCUGUUAUAAGAAUAAUUGUGACUGGCAGUUGUUUUUUCGAGCUUGAUAUCUCAACUUGGAAGUUGGAAACCACUUACCAUCUGGCAUUCUGAAAUUUAUCUCGCAUGGUUUAGAAUUGACAUGACUUGUUUUAGUUAAAUAGAAAUUCCUUUAAAUUUGGCUUAAACACCUCAAAACAUUGGCAACUUUGAGGAAGCAUUCCCAGAUCUGUUUGUGAUAGCAAACAUUAUGGAUUCUUGGUGGUAUUGUUUCUACUCCAUCCAUUAUUUGCAAUUUCAACAAAAACUUAUGCCUUGUGGUCAAUAUUUCAGAGGAUGGAGGCGUCAUAUGGGAGUUUGAUAAAUAAAGUCUGGAUUUCAUUGCAUCAGCUCCUCUCUGGGCUUCCAUUGUUCCUUCGCUGAUGAUUCUAAGGUUUUACAAUGCUUGUGCUAAGCAUGAUAAUGAUCAAUAAUUUAAAGAUAAACGACAGCUCGCUGGUGGACGCAGUUCAGCAUAUUCUCUCAAGGGAUUGGUUUGUCCUAGUCUCCCAUGCCUACAGGAAAGGGAAUUUUUGCAUCGAUUGAUAGGAAAUUUUGCAGCGUCUCCCCUUUGGAAUUCAACGGCUGGUGGGUUACUGUUAUUUAUCAAAGAUAAGUUUCAUUAAAAGUAAGCGUGCAAGGCCCUAAAGGCCCAAAUUCAUAAUACAGUAGCAGGCUCCAAGCGAUAAGGCAUCUGGAGGUCUAACGCACACUUCUCACGGCAGGUCCUUUGGCUCAACAAAACCUCAAUCUACUAGAGGAACCGUCUGGCCUAACUCUUCCGCUGUCUACAUCAUCGAGAGAAGGGAGAAGCAAAUCCCAACAAUCGUCGAGAGAAGUGAGAAGCAAAACCCAACAAGUAGCAGGCCGUGGAAGUGCCAAAACAUAAGAAAUCACAAUAAGGAGGCAUUUCGACCAAAGAUCGAGCUUUUCUUCUCAUAUGCAAUUUCGCUCUUAUUAAUUCAGUUGGGUCGCAUGGUUUAUCAGUCCAAUCAAUCGAGUUACACUCAUAUCAGAUUAUAAACUCAAACUAGAUUAGAGUCCAAUUCAUCAAUUAAUUGGCCAAUUUGAUUUAGAUUUAAUAACAAUAAAUUAGCCAUUAACACUUUUUUUUUC
rnacentral:misc_RNA from 1 species